GAUGAACGCUGGCGGCGUGCCUAAUACAUGCAAGUCGAGCGAACAGACGAGGAGCUUGCUCCUCUGACGUUAGCGGCGGACGGGUGAGUAACACGUGGAUAACCUACCUAUAAGACUGGGAUAACUUCGGGAAACCGGAGCUAAUACCGGAUAAUAUAUUGAACCGCAUGGCUCAAUAGUGAAAGACGGUUUUGCUGUCACUUAUAGAUGGAUCCGCGCCGCAUUAGCUAGUUGGUAAGGUAACGGCUUACCAAGGCAACGAUGCGUAGCCGACCUGAGAGGGUGAUCGGCCACACUGGAACUGAGACACGGUCCAGACUCCUACGGGAGGCAGCAGUAGGGAAUCUUCCGCAAUGGGGGAAAGCCUGACGGAGCAACGCCGCGUGAGUGAUGAAGGUCUUCGGAUCGUAAAACUCUGUUAUUAGGGAAGAACAAAUGUGUAAGUAACUAUGCACGUCUUGACGGUACCUAAUCAGAAAGCCACGGCUAACUACGUG
rnacentral:rRNA from 1 species